rnacentral:rRNA from 1 species
CAGCCUGCCAGUGACUAAGUUCAACGGCCGCGGUAUCCUAACCGUGCGAAGGUAGCGUAAUCACUUGUUCUUUAAAUGAGGACUAGUAUGAAUGGCACCACGAGGGUUAUACUGUCUCCUUUUUUUAAUCAAUGAAACUGAUCUUCCCGUGAAGAAGCGGGAAUAAAUAUAUAAGACGAGAAGACCCUAUGGAGCUUUAAACAAUUAUAGCACUGGCCCACACUUCUUAUUCUUCUGAGACAUAAUUAUUAUAUAGGCCAACAUGACUAUUAGUUUUAGGUUGGGGUGACCGCGGAGCAAAACCUAACCUCCACGUUGAACGGAGCCACUCCUGACUACAAGCUACAACUUUAAGCACCAAUAAACUGACAUCAAUUGACCCAACAUGUUGAGCAACGAACCAAGUUACCCUAGGGAUAACAGCGCAAUCCAUUUCAAGAGCCCCUAUCGACAAAUGGGUUUACGACCUCGAUGUUGGAUCAGGGUAUCCCAGUGGUGCAGCCGCUACUAAAGGUUCGUUUGUUCAACGAUUAAAACCCUACGUGAUCUGA